GAUAACAACCAAUUUUUUCUCCGACAGUCAGAGUGACCAACUAUGAAAAAAAAAAUGUCAAAUCGUUAUUUUACUAUAGAUACUAUAGAUAUCUGAUCCUAAUCUACAUAAUUUGAAGUUGAAAGUUUUACUAGUUUUAGUACACGUUUUAGUUUUAAGUGUUUUAACUGUUUGAAGCACGACAAGAUAUAUAUUUUGUCAUGGUUUGAAGCUUCUGAAGUUGUUUUUUCUUUUCUAAGACGCUUAUAGAGUCAGCGCCAAUUUGUGUAAGCCAAAAUUCCUGAAUAUAACCAUUCAGAAAUACUUCCAUCUGUUGAUAAAUAUUCGGAUAUUGAUUGGCAAAUUCAACAAUUACCCAAAAUCCAUCAUGUAUUGUAAAUGUACAAUUGGGAUGUACUUGAGCAGACUAAAUUACCAUGCGCAAUAUUGUAGCUGCCUCAGGAUUCGAUUGGAAUAAAUGGAAAGGUUGAUUCUACUGCAUUUAUUAACCCCCUUUCAUAAUCAGAUAUGAUUGUUAACCGGGCAUAAUUCAAUGGCAAAACCUCACGAACAAUCCUCAAGAAUGACUCGUAUGUAGCUUGAGUCAUUCGGGAAGUCAGCCCAUAAACCAUCGGAAAAGACUUAAAUAGAAAAUACAGUCAAUACUUCAAUAGAACCACUUGAAAUGUUAAUAAACAGCCUUUGGUUAGCUGUGGUGGACUUUUUGGUACCGUUUUAAAUGUGCCGUCAAUUCCUGCAAAGGUUACAGUUAGCAGUUCUUCUCUAUAUUUUUGAAUCGCAUCUAAAUUUGAGAAUAUGACGCCAACCCGUUCGCCUUCUACCAUAAACGACGGAUUCUGCAUUGUUGUUCCAUACGCUGAGUUUUGAUGCUGGCUUAAGGUAUCAAUCAGUUCUUCGACUGUAGAUGGAUUGUUGGGAUGACGGCGCCGACGCAUUUUUUUUACACACAUUUGUGAUUGUAAAUAGGUGUAGUUUGUUGCACCUUCUGGAUUUCUAAGGCAGUUUUGUUCCAGUUAUACCAAUAGCUCUUCUUAAAUGAACCAUAGGAACAUCAACUAACCUAGGUGCAUGGUAGUGCAAUCCUAAUACUGUUAUUGCAUUGUCAUUUAUAUUUGUAUUCACAUACGCAGUGACAGGACAAAAUGCUGUUCGAUUUUUUUGAUUUUCGCAGACUAGGUAUCUAAAUAAGUUAUAAAUUAAGAUUUUAGUAGCCAGCUAAACAAACCAAAUCCUAAGAUAAUAAUAAUAUUAUUUCUACUCACAUUUUGUUAAUUCGACUUCUACUUUUAUAAUACCUGUAGUUUAAAUUGUCCACAAAUAUUUGUGACUUAAGUCUAACACCAGGAAUUAUUGUGUAUGUUGUCGCAUAUUCUUGAACUGUAAAUAAAAUAUGUGUUAUAAUA